UACGGAGGAUGCGAGCGUUAUCCGGAUUUAUUGGGUUUAAAGGGUGCGCAGGCGGCGUGUCAAGUCAGCGGUAAAAUGUCGGGGCUCAACCCCGGCCGGCCGUUGAAACUGAUGAUCUUGAGUGGGCGAGAAGUAUGCGGAAUGCGUGGUGUAGCGGUGAAAUGCAUAGAUAUCACGCAGAACUCCGAUUGCGAAGGCAGCAUACCGGCGCCCGACUGACGCUGAAGCACGAAAGCGUGGGUAUCGAACAGG
rnacentral:rRNA from 1 species